AAAACCCUCAAGCUCGACGCCAAUGGCGAGGGUUCCAAGCAAUCACUCUCGCGAUCAAUUUCAGGAUAUGCAGGGGCUCUUUAAUAACUUGCAAGAUUGGGAAUUAGCAUUGAAAGGUAAAGACAAAAAGAUGAAAUCUCAGGCUGGUGGCAAAGAGACGUUGAAAGAAGACUGGAGCCGUACUAGUGAACCUCUUACUAGUCCUCAAGCUAAUGGGACACAACAAGUUGGCAAAUCUACCUCGAUCAGAAAUGCAGCUGGUCCAUAUAGUUAUUCUAAAAAUUACAAUCCAAUUAGCCAUCUAUCAAGUGAACUGAUAUCGGAAGAGAGCAACAUCAACGCCAAUUCGGAGAAAGAGCUGGGUAAUGAGUGCUUUAAGCAGAAAAAGUUCAAUGAAGCCAUUGAUUGCUAUUCUCGAAGCAUUGCACUUUCACCAACUGCAGUCUCUUAUGCCAAUAGAGCGAUGGCUUAUCUUAAAAUCAAAAGGUUUCAAGAGGCAGAGAACGACUGCACAGAGGCCUUGAAUCUGGAUGAUCGUUACAUUAAAGCUUAUUCUCGCCGUUCAACUUCUAGGAAAGAACUUGGGAAAUUGAAAGAAUCAAUUGAAGAUGCUGAAUUUGCGUUGUGGUUGGAACCACGGAACCCAGAGAUCAAGAAGCAGUAUGGAGAAGUUAAGGCUCUGUAUGAGAAGGAGAUUCUUAAAAGAGUAUCAGGAGCAACAGAUGUUUCUGCACAAGGGCCUCAAAAAUCUGGAAAGACAAUUAAAAUUGGCCCUGUAAUCCAAUCUGUAUCAAGUAGUUCUCAAAAGGUGGCUGAAGUUCGGACGAUUCCUGCCAAGGAAAACAAUAGAGAUGUUCUUGGGACUGCUAAAGUUGAAGAUACUCAUAUGCAGAUUAGCAACAAAGAUUCAGAUGCUUCUCCAACCGUUCCUACCCUAAAUCUUGCCUUUGGGACUGCAAAGAAAACUCACAAAAUAAGCAAGCAAGAACUCGAGGAAUCUGUCCAAGAGCUUGCUGCUCGAGCAGCUGGUCUUGCAAAGACUGAAGCUGCAAAAAAUAUUGCAGCACCAAAUUCAGCCUAUCAGUUUGAGGUUUCUUGGCGGGGACUUUCUGGUGAUCGUAAUCUGCAAACUCAAUUAUUGAAGGUCACUUCACCUGCAAUGUUACCCCGAAUAUUUAAAAAUGCAUUAUCUGCUCCGAUGCUCAUGGACAUUGUAAGAUGUAUUGCCACAUUUUUCAUUGAAGAUAUGAAUUUGGCAAUUAGAUACCUGGAAGAUCUGACGAAGGUACCAAGGUUCGACAUGAUCAUCAUGUGCCUUUCAUCCGCUGAUAAAUCUGAACUUCUCAAGAUAUGGGAAGAGAUCUUCUGUAAGGUAGCUGAGGAGCACUCUGCUACACUUGGUGCACUUCGCGUCUCAUAUGGCCUAAAACAAUGAUGUAGCUUUUCUGGUCCAGUUAACGCGGGAAGCUGACAUUCUUGUAUUAUUAUCAGAUUUUUGUUAUUCUACAAAGCAAACAUGCAUGUGGAUAUAGUUUGAUAUUGAAAUGGGAAUUUUCUUGUUGAAAUUCUGUACCGAUAUCUUCAAGAUGUUUGACGACUCCUGAUAGGAAAAUUUUGAUAUUUAAAGAU
rnacentral:misc_RNA from 1 species